rnacentral:rRNA from 1 species
AGAGUUUGAUCCUGGCUCAGGACGAACGCUGGCGGCGCGCCUCAUACAUGCAAGUCGAGCGAGAAACUCGGAGCUUGCUCCGGGUGGACAGCGGCGAACGGGUGAGGAACACGUGAGGAACCUGCCCCGAAGACCGGGAUAACACCAGGAAACCGGUGCUAAUACCGGAUGCCCUCACCGGAUCGCAUGGUCCGGCGAGGAAAUGGAUUCCGCUUCGGGAUGGUCUCGCGGCCUAUCAGCUUGUUGGCGGGGUAAUGGCCCACCAAGGCUUCGACGGGUAGCUGGUCUGAGAGGAUGUCCAGCCACACUGGGACUGAGACACGGCCCAGACUCCUACGGGAGGCAGCAGUAGGGAAUCUUGCGCAAUGGGCGAAAGCCUGACGCAGCGACGCCGCGUGCGGGAUGACGGCCUUCGGGUUGUAAACCGCU